rnacentral:rRNA from 1 species
UGCCAGCAGCCGCGGUAAAACGUAGGUCACAAGCGUUGUCCGGAAUUACUGGGUGUAAAGGGAGCGCAGGCGGGAAGGCAAGUUGGAAGUGAAAUCUAUGGGCUCAACCCAUAAAUUGCUUUCAAAACUGCUUUUCUUGAGUGGUGCAGAGGUAGGCGGAAUUCCCGGUGUAGCGGUGGAAUGCGUAGAUAUCGGGAGGAACACCAGUGGCGAAGGCGGCCUACUGGGCACUAACUGACGCUGAGGCUCGAAAGUGUGGGUAGCAAACAGGAUUAGAUA